UAGGGGGUUUUCUUUUCUUUAUUACUAUGAGCGUAUCUUCUCCCUGCAGCUCUCUCCCGAUUUCCUCAAGUGGCGUCGGACGGCAGCUAUUCCGGUGGCUGCGAGCAACGGCGACGACAUCCUCUGAUCAUGCUCAACUCGCUGUAGGGGUUCUCUGGUGAGUCCCCUUCUUCCCUCGAUCCCUAGAGUCACGGACGGAGUGGUUUGUAGUGGUUAGGGCUUCAAGGAAUGAUGGCGGCAGUGAGCUCCGAUCGUCUUCACCUCACCGGAGGGGAUCUCCGGUGUGUCCUCCACCUUCUGGCGCUUUUUUGAGGUUUUUUUGCCUCCAGUGGGUUACAAGGGCAGAGGAUCCCGAAGAGGGCGACAACUGUUCAUCAACUUCUCUGGUGAAGCCACCUUCUGAGAUCCAUCACCGAGCGUGGUUGAGAACUUCUUGUGGACGUGGGUUGCGUAGGCAGUGUGUUUCUAGAAAGCUCCGGUGGCAUUUUCCUUCUCUGACAGAAGCAUUCCAGAGUUCUAUUCUUUCUCUAGCUUCAUCCAGCUGGCUCAAUUCAGUGUGGUUUGCACUGGUGUGAGCAUAGUUGACAGGGAUAGCACCUCCACUACUUCUGUUCAACUUCCAUUAGAGGGGUUCUUCGGUGGAAGAUUUGUCCACUGUCAUGGUAGAAGCAAGCACAGCCAACAUCUUUAUUGCUGUCCACCAGCUCUAGGGGUUUCAGAUCUAGGUUCUUCGUGUGAUGGCGAAGAGUAGUCAGAUUGGAGUUGAUUGUGGAAAAGGGAGAUUGGUUAUUUAGGAUUUAUUUAUUGUUCUUAUUUAAUUUUAUAAUUAAGUUCUUAUGCUUGUUUGAUUGUUUCAUGUUAUUUGGUAUCUUAUUUUCAUGUUUCAUCUAUUGUUAUUUCCUUAUGAUUCAUGUUAGACUGUUUAGUUUUGGUAUUGUAUUUAGUUUUAUUAUGCAUGAUUGUUAAUUCUGUAUCAUAGUAUGACAAUGUGAUGUAGGUUAUCAAUUAUGCAUAGUUAGGUUUUGUUUAGUCGCGGUUAAGUUUUUUUAGUUUAAUUGCACUUGUUUUACUAUUGUUUUUCUCUUACGAAUGUUUGUGCUAUUUGUUCUGUUUUCUUUUAUGUCAUGUCUAUUGAUAGACGCGCUUGUACCGUAGGAUGAUAAUGUGGUGUAGGUUUGUCUUCAAUGGUUAGAUAAGAUUUUAGUUUCAUUUCUGGCAUGUUAUUUCAGUUUAUGGUUCUAUCCAUAGUGUAAAGUGACACAACGCUUGGGGUUCAUCAUUGCUUGUUAGUUAUGAUUUCAUUUAUUGCAUUAGAUUUAUAGAACAAAAACCCUAACAAAAACCCCCUAGUUCUAUUUGAUAUAAAAACAAAUUGUUUUUGUAGAAAGCACUAGACGAUCAAACCUAAGUUUUGAUUAUGGAAAAUGGUUCAAAGUUCACUUGUCUUAUUGUCUAAUAAGUUGAAUUAAGUGUGCAGGAAAGUCCUAGCUGCAGUUAGGCAACGAAGUCCUAGUCUUGGGGACUGGGCGAAGUCUUGGCGGAUCGAGGACUUUGGGUGAAAUCCUAGAGUCGAGGACUCUAGGUGGAAAUCCUGGGUUGCGAACACCAGCGGAAGUCUGGACAGGUCAUGGAGCAGAUGUUUAGCAUGAAGUCCUAAAGUCUCGGACGCUGAGCAAAAAUUCAGACCGUCUGGAAGAUUAGUCUAGCAAAAGGUACUUUCUCCUGAGAGGAAUAGAAAUAGAAGUUGAUAGAAAAUGGUGGUUUGGGCACUCGGAUGACCAAAACUCAUCUUUUCGCCGAACUGGAGCGUGAGGGUUGGUUGGGCUAAUGUCAUAGUCCGAGCGCCCUAGGGUGAUCCUGGCGCUCGGAAGUAGAUAACAUUUGCUGGAUUGAGUUUCGACGAGAGUACACCAUAUUAGCGCGAUCUAGGCGCCCAGGAGGGGAUCUAGGCGCCCGGAACAUGCUAUAAAACAAUGCUUCGACUAGUGGCUUCAACAUAACAUUCCGAAUAACUUUCACUUCUUCAUGCUGUUCAGAAAACGCCUCCUCAAUGCUCGAAUGCUGCUUUGACGAUGACUGUACUAAAGACCUAAUCCUCCCAGUCGUUGGUAUUGCUUUUAUUCAACUUACUUGUGUUUAAAUUGUAAUAAUCUAUUAUAAUUUUUUAAUUAAUUAAUAUUUGUCCAA